GUGAAAUCCGACCCCAAAAUCUCAAUGAAGAUGUUCAAUUUGACUACUCAGCUGGUUGUGGCUCUAAGCUUAUGUUUACUUCUUCUGAGUUUAUCCUACUCUGUCGAUGCAACUGCAAGAUCAAUUGCUGAAGCAGCAGCGAACGAUUUCGAAUGUAAACCCAUCAGAAAACCAUGUAAAAGAGAUCGUGAUUGUGAUUAUGAAUGCUCAAAUAUAGGUUAUGAUAUGAGAGGAAGGUGCGUGCGUCAUCAUGUGGAGAAGAUUGAUGUUAACCGGUACAAAGUUAUAAAUUUAUCCGGUUGUUGCUGUGAGGUUUAGGGACAUUCUCUAAGUUGAUGUGUUUCUAGUCUCGUCUUCGCAAUGUCCCAAAUAAAUAAUAUUAAUAUAAUAAAAUGAUGGAUUUCUUAUA